rnacentral:lncRNA from 1 species
CCUCGCCCCCGUGGGGGGCGGUGCGGUGGGCGGUGUAAGGAGGUGGAACCAUUUUAGGCUCCAAGCUCGUUCAGCAUCCCCAGUCUGAGCCGUAUCCUGCGGGAUGAGCUUUUGGGUUAAUGGGGCGUAGUGAGGAACACGCGCGGCUGAAGCACCAGGAGGAACCUUUUGGGCUGUUGUUUCUUUGGGCAUUCGAUGUGAGCGAUGGGGGUCGUUGUGGAGGAGAGUCCCCCCGCUGCGGGGUCGGCUCUGAAGUGCGGGGCUGUUCUCAUAGCACCGCGAUGGGACACGAAGGGCUGUCGCUGACGCCCCCGCAUUGAGGAAGCUUGUUUUCUUUCUCCUUACCUCCCUGGAGGGAGCCUUCUUCCGCUUGGAAAGGCAGUGCCUGGUGAGAAGGAUUGGCUUGUUAUCAAACAGAGCCCACGUUGCUUUGCUCCCAGGAUGAAGACUUACCCUGUUCCAUGGACCCAAACCGCAGUAACUGAUAACAGUCAAUGAUCGAUUACCACCUGCAGGUAUCCUUUAUUAUAUUACAAAAGAGAAUGGGGUUAAUACCCAAAGCAGUUUUCUACCUCUGCUUCUGUGUGCAUGCUUUUCCGAAAGCCUUACAUAUUCAUUGGAUUUCCAUGAAUCCUGAUACGUGGUCACACUGUUUCCCAAAAUGCCCAUAUCUUUUCCAGGAUCUCUGUCUUCCACCCAUUUUCUUCCUUCCUGUGGUUUCUUUCUUCCAAUUGGAUUUGAGUUGGAGGUCACACACCCUCAGUUCGGUGGUUUCUCAGGCAGCUUUGGCUCACAGAACUGCAGUGUUCUCACUCAAUACAAACACUGUCUCCUCUUCUUCCAGUAUGGAUUUUUAACACCAGUGGUAACUGAGGUGCAUUUAAUAUCUCAGUGUGAUUCUUCAGAUUGUUUUUCUGGGUCAGAUUGGAGUCCCAUGUGUGCCCACAUGUGCAGGACCCACACCUCUUUGGUUUGGGUACUGAGGAUAAUCAGACUUUAUAUACCAUCGCCCUGCAAAGAAAAAGCAGAAAUGAAUGAUGAGGGGAACAUCUCAUCCCACAUCUCCCGCAGGAAGACGUAUCACACAGGAAGACCCCAACAUGUUUAAUUUGGGAGGAGAGACUCACUCUUUGCUUCGUGGUGUUUCUCUGGGUUAGAAAGAGGAGAGUAGUUCACGGCCUGGGGGGAUUUUUCAUAGCCUAUGCAGUUAUUUUGGAUGGUGUCAGAUUUGGUCAGUUUUAAUGACUGCAGCUUACUCCACUGUGAAUUCAAUUUCUCUGGAGGAAAAAAAAAAAAAAAAAAAAAACAAAGGAAAAGGAAUGCAUGAUGAGGUGGGACAGCUUUGUCAUCCCAUGGGGAAGGCCAACUUCCUUUGGUUCAGGGAAGAAGACUCACCCACUGCUUUGGUUUGUUGCACUGGAAAAGCAUGAAGAAAGCACCACAUGAUGAGAGGAACAGUUCAUCCCACAGCUCACGCAGGAAGAACCCAUUUUUAAUUUAAUUUGGGAGGGAGCACUCACCCAGGUCUGAAGCUAGUUUAUCUGCAAUGAAACAAAUAAGAAAUGCAUGAUGAGAAGGGUCAGAAUAUCAUCCCAUGGAUGAUCCCAUGGGAAGACCCCGAAUCUCUUUGGUUUGCAGAGGAGGACUCACCCAACUGUGCAUUCCUUCUCUCUGCAAAGGGAAAGCAGAAACAGUGUGUGGUGAGAGGAGCAGCUCAUCCCACACAUCGCACAGGAAAACCCCCUUUUUUAUUUAAUUUGGAGGGAGGACUCACCCAGAUCUGAAGCUAGUUUCUCUGCUAAAGAAACAGAUAAGAAACGCAUGAUGAGAAGGAUCAAAUUAUCAUCCCAUAGGAAUACCCCAAAUCUCUUUGGUUAGCAGAGGAAGACUCACCGAACUCUGCAUUUCUUCUCUCUACAAAAGAAAGGCAGAAACAAUGCAUGAAGACAGGAGCAUCUCGUCCCACAGCUCCCAAAGGAAAACCCCUUUUUUGUUUAAUUUUAAAGGCAGCACUCACCCAGACUUUCAGCUAGUGUCUCUGCAAAAGAAUCAAAUAAGAAAUGCGUGAUGAGAAGGGUCAGAAUAUCAUCCCAUGGAUGAUCCCAUGGGAAGACCUUGAAUCUCUUUGGUUUGCAGAGGAGGACUCACCCAACUUUGCAUCCCUUCUCUCUGCAAAGGAAAAGCAGAAACAGUGUGUGGUGAGAGGAGCAGCUCAUCCCACACAUCGCACAGGAAAACCCCCUUUUUUAUUUAAUUUGGAGGGAGGACUCACCCAGUUCUGAAGCUAGUUUCUCUGCUAAAGAAACAGAUAAGAAACGCAUGAUGAGAAGGAUCAAAUUAUCAUCCCAUAGGAAUACCCCAAAUCUCUUUGGUUAGCGGAGGAAGACUCACCGAACUCUGCAUUUCUUCUCUCUACAAAAGAAAGGCAGAAACAAUGCAUGAAGACAGGAGCAUCUCGUCCCACAGCUCCCAAAGGAAAACCCCUUUUUUGUUUAAUUUUAAAGGCAGCACUCACCCAGAUUUUCAACUAGUGUCUCUGCAAAAGAAUCAAAUAAGAAAUGCGUGAUGAGAAGGGUCAGAAUAUCAUCCCAUGGAUGAUCCCAUGGGAAGACCUUGAAUCUCUUUGGUUUGUGGAGGAGGACUCACCCAACUUUGCAUCCCUUCUCUCUGCAAAGGAAAAGCAGAAGCAGUGCAUGAUGAACUGAACAGCUCAUCCCACAGCUCACACAGGCAUCCCCCAUUUUGUAUUUUGUUUGGGAGGGAGGACUUACCCAGUUCUGCAGCUAGUGUCCCUGAUAAAGAAUCAAAUAAGAAACGCAUGACGAGAAGGCUCAGGUUAUCAUCCCAUGGCUGAUCCCAUGGGAAGUCCCCAAAUCUCUUUGGUUUGAGGAGGGAGACUCACCCAACUUUGCAUCCAUUCUCUCUGCAAAGGAAAAGCAGAAACAAUGCAUUAUGAGAUGAAUGACUAAUUGCACAGCUCCCAAAACAUUAAAAAAAAAAAAUAGUGGGAAGGGAAACUCAUCCACUAUCGCAGGUAGUUCUGCUGGAAAAGAAAGAGCGGAGCAGUGCAUGGUCAGAGAGGACAGCUGCUCAUCCCACAGCUGAUGCCAUGGGGAGACCCUGAAUUCCCUCACUUUGGGGAAGGAGACUUACCCAACUCUGCAUCUUUUCCCUCUGCAAAAUAGAAGCAAAGGAAAUGCAUGGUCAGAGGGAACACCUUCUCAUCCCAUGGUUGCUCCCAUGCCAAUACCCCCAAAUCUUUGUUCUGGUAAGCGGCCAAUGACCACUUUGGUCCCAAGAAGGAAUUAAACCAAAAGGAAAGAACAGAUUGGGCAAGAGUUUUUCACAUGGAUCAGUCAGGAUCAACGCAUCCCACGAUCCCAUUACAUCCCACAACCCAAAUUCAUCCUGCAACACCAACUCAUCCAAAGGCCUCAACACAUCCCAUGGCCUCAACCCAUCACAAAAGCCCAGCACUCUGCAGUCUUCUAUCAGUUCCAAUAGAGGGAUUUUGGUGGUAGAAGGGGCUGGAAGGACUCACUCUGCUUUGUGGUCUCAGCUGCUGGAAAACAAAGCAGAGAAAUAGCUGGUCAGCAGGGCAGCUUGGUUUCUGGGGACGUCUCCAGAGGGUCUGGACCUUUCCACCUGCCCCACGGUCCACCCACAUUCCUAUCUUUCCGCCCACACCCCUUUUUCCCUUUCCUUCAUUCCCAAUCAAACGGCAAAUGUUAUUUAAUGACCACUGUCAAUCCCCAGAAAAAUCUCCCUUCCUCCUGCAUACCUCCACGGACCAGAGCUCAGCACCACCCCGACCAUCCCUAUCCCUGCUCAACACCUCCCUGUGCUCCAUCCCCUCCAUGCUCAACUCACCUUUCUUCCUAUAGAGAAAAACAGUGAUGACAAAUGACCCAACCAGAAUUGUGACGAUCACAGCCAGAGCCACCUUCCAGGGAUGGGUGAUCUGGGAAAAGGGGUCUGGAAGAAACAUCAGGACGAGGGUUCCUUUUCCAUUCCCGUAAGUGGAAAAGCAAGACUCAGCCUUGGGACAUCACAGAACCCAAAGGGGCAGCAACCAGGGAGCACUGAUGCACAAUGACGGCAUCACCAGAUUGGCACAGGUGGAGGAGCUGCUCAGCAUCGUGUGCCCACUGCCACUGAGAAACCCAUCCCAGAAAUCCAACCCAACCACCUCAUCCAUGCAGACUUAUCCACAAAUUGCACUGUGCACCUGCUCCAACACCAGCAUCUCAUGGAACAAUUUAGCCCCGACCUCUUCCAAAGGCUGCUGUCCUUCAGCUUUCCAUCCAUGGACGUGAGGAUGAGGAUGGACAGAGGUCGGGGUGGGACACACAAACCCAGCGACAACUGGAGGUGUCACCCCAACCACUGACCUGACACCUCCAGGUCCACCACAGCGUCUGCAUAGCCAUCACCAUCCUGCACAGCACAGCUGUAUGAGCCACUAUCAGAGGUGCUCACAGCAGUGAUGCGCAAAUCCAGGUUUCCAUCAGAGAGACCAUCCCUGAGCAGUUCUGUUCUCCCUUUAUAUUCCUCCAUCUGCUCCAGGUCCUCUCCAUUUUGAUAGUGGUGCACAAAACCAGAGGUCCGGUGCUGGAUCCAUCUGAUGUCUGAGCUCCAAGCAUCCUUGCAAGGGGACAACUGGCAGCGCAGCACAACAUCCUGUCCCACGUUGGCAGUGACACGGAGGCUCGGUGCCACCACCCUGAGCUGGGCUGGGCAAUGAGAAGGGCACAGAGAGAUGGUGAGAUGGUGGCUGUGUUAAUGUGGGGGCAUGGAGCGGCACAGGGUGAGUUGGUGUGUGCUCCAUCCCAUGUAAAAGCAGUGGGGAGGGAUCAGGAGGGAGUGGGGAAGGAUUUCUGCGGAUGGGAGCCCACUCACACCGUGUGGUGGAGGUGAAGAAGAGACAGAAAUUCUACCCAAAAUGGUGUCUUUCAUGGAAUAACCAAAGUGAAAGUGAAACCCAAGCAGGGCUGGGUGCUGGGCUUGCGUCCUCCCCGCCCCAUGGCUGCUCCCCCACCCCACAGCAACACCUGUGCCAGGCACAGCAGCCCCACAGGACCCCUACCUGAUCCCGGCUGGAGGAGGUGCAGAGCCACGAGAUAAGGCAGGAGGGUCCUCCAGGGAAGGGUGAAACUGGGGUGGUUGCAGCCCAAUAGAAAGUGCAUCUGUGCUAGAGAAGGGGGGGGGGGGAGGAGGAGGAUUUGGGGAAAGAAGAGAGAGGAAGAAGUCUGAGAAGGAGAUGAUGGGGGAGAUGGGUAAAAAAAAAUGGGUAAAAGAUGAGAGACGAAGAUAGGGGAAGGAAGUGGUGGAAGGAGAUGGAGAAGGAGAUGAUGGAGAAGAUGGGGGUGAAUAUUUGGAAAGAAGAUGGGGAAAAGAUCAGGGAAAAUAGGAGGGAAGAAACUGUAGGAGAAGAGAGUGGCCCAGAGGGUUACAGCCACCAGGGGAGGAGGGGAUGGGGUCACUCAAACGUGAGUUCCAUGAGCACAGCCACCACCGCUUUGGGCAGUGCCAGUGCUCCUCACAGGCUGUGGGGCAAAGCAGGUGACCCCCCAAGGAUUUCCCCUACAAAGAGCCCCACAGAGACAGAAAUCCUUCACCUGAGCUGCAGCAAGCGCGCGGCUACACCCAGCAUCAAUCUUUGCCCAGCUUCAACCUUUGCCCAGCUUCUACCUUUGCCCGGCUCCAGGGUGCAAUGCGAGCAACUUGGCAUCAGACCAAUACAGUCAAAGGUUGGAGAACAUAAAACACAUCCCAUUGCAGCUUUGUGCACCACCCUGGGUCUCUGCUAUCACCAGGAACAUGGACACAGGAGAAGCUUUGCCAUAGCACAGGAGAAAGCUGUGCGCUGCACUUCAUGAGCAUUUCUCUCAAUUUCUCCUGUAUCCCACAGGUUACAGGGACCAGUAAUUCUGCCAGAGCUAUUCCCAAGGGCACGUGGUGAAGGAUUAUGGCUUGGAGCAGUGGGGAGAGCCAAAAGCCCUUCCCACACUUGAUGCACACCAAGGGUGUGAUCCCAGCAUGCAGCCUCUCAUGUUGCAAUGGUCAAUUUUAUCUUAAAAUCCUCUUGCACUUGGAGCAAUGUUAUUUUCCCCAUGUGCAUUCACAGUGAGGUCCCCCUGAAGCCUACUCUUCUCCAGCCAAUUUCUUAUGAUCACAAAGGGGAUGAUAUGAUGGUGACAUGGGGGAUUUCCACGUGGAUGCUGCAGGGCAGAUGGGGAAGGGGUGAGGGGAGAUGCCCACCAGCAGAGUUCCCAUGCAGGACACAGCAGUUUUGCUGCCAGCACCAGGAAGCAGCUUCCCCUCCUUUCCCUGCUGGGAAAUCACUCCUUUGGAAUGUUUUUUUUUUUCUGCUGCUCACCCACAUUUUGCACAGGGCUGAUCUUCCAGGUCAGCCCAAACUCUGCAUCCCCGCACAGAUAACCUCUCCCUCCCUAAGAAUCAGUGCAUCCUGCCUGCCUGCAAAGCAGCUGCUGAGAUGUCUUUUGCAGCCCUUAUUCCCGCAGACCCCAUGCAGAACCACACACAUCUCCAUCCUCUCCUCCGUUGGCAAGGAAUGGGUUUGCAAAGGGAUGGGCACAACCAGCAAUAUGCAAAGGAAGAGGUGUCGAAAGUCUGGGGAGCAAUGAAUCUGUCCCCCGGAAGAUGUUUCCAUGGGGCAGUUAAGGAGGGGAAUUGGAAAUGAAGCAGAUGAUGCAGCAAUGAAACUAUCCCAGAAAAGGGGGAAAAAGCAAUUCUGGUAAUGAAGAUACAUAAAGGAGAAGGGCUUCUCGCUGUCUGGACGCAGUUCUGUUGGUUAACGUCUUUUCUCUUUGUGCUCUUUGCACUUUUUUCUUUGCCUGCUCUGGUCAGGAUGAGGCAGAGCCCUCACGGGGCCCUUUCACACCUUUUUUUAGCACACAGAAGCGCAGCGGCCGUCUCAGCACCCAGCAUGGAAGAGAAGGGACUGCAAAUAAAUUAAAUGCGUUACUGAAUAGACAGCCGUAAUUAAAAGUCAAACCCAUCCCCUCCCAGUAUUCCAGCUGCCGAGGCAUCGGUUGGCACAGAAUCACCAAAUAUUGCCUUUCUUCCCCCAUCCCCGCUUAUCAGCCAAUGCUCUCUGACCCCUAAAAGGUCUCGAUUUGGGGUCUUUUUGUUGUUGUUGUUGUUGUUCUGGGUAUUUUUAGGCUUUUAUUAUCAGCGAUUUUUCAGCUUCUCACUGCUUACCCCCCAGCUCAGCACCGCGUCGCUCACUGCCAUCGCUGAACCCAGCGGCGUUUCCAUCCCUCAGAGAGCAGCAAAAUGAGACAUCGGCCGUCGUGCACGGAAGGGAAAGGCUGUAGGGUACAUCUACCCUUAUUUCUUGGGUUUGUGUUUUGUUUUGUUGUUAUUUAAAAGCAAAACCAAGACAACAAAGCCCAGCCAAUGCCAUUUCCUGGCAGUGGACGCAGGCGCAGGCGGGUUGGUCACAAAGCAAGAAGUUGCUGCGGGACUUUGUCGUUUUGGGGCCGUUCUCGUGAACUUCUGAGCCAUGGAUGAGGAAAUUACUUAUGCUGAUUUAAGGCAUCCUACGGGCAGUUUGCCUCCUGCUAAGCGGCAGCGCGGUAAGGGAUGCUCUGUGUGGUGGGUGCUCACCGCAGGCUUGGUUUGGGGGCUUGCUGUUCUCUGAGAAACACCAGCAAUGCUGGUUGGGUUCUGGGUCCACCCUGGCUUGUAUGGGGGAGUAAAGGAAGGGGUGGGGGAGAAGGAAGCCUGGGAAUGGCCAGAGGUGUGGUGGUUUUGAGCAAAAAUCAGCCCAGAUCGGGAAGCCCAAUGUGAGAGAAUGGAAUGAAAUGGUGGCAAACGCACCCUGCAUCCACGUGGCAUGAGGGCUGCAGACAUCCCCGCCCUCCCAGCCACCGGCUGCCCCACACUGGGCUCGGCUCACAAAGCCUGGGGGCUGCUCAGCUUCCACCCCAUGCUCUAUGGAGCCUGCAGGGCCUCCACCACCUCCAGAACCACGCGUGGAGGUGAUGUCCCUGUGUCCAUCUGACCUCCAGCGGGAGCCCAUCCCAUGCUCCCUGCUGCUGUCACCCCUCUGUGCCACCUCCUUCCCAGCUGGGAACCACUGGGAGCCACUGGGAAGGGUCCAGGGGACCCCGGAACUGGAGGAAAACAAACAGGCAUCAACUUCUGCUCAUACACAGCAUGGGAACCAAUGGGAAGGGUCCGGGGACCCCAAAUUCUCAAGGAACCAAAGCAGCCAUCAACUAUCAGAUUUGUUGUUCAGCAGAAUGCGUCUGUAUGCCCCAUCCCCACUCCACUUCAUUUCCUUUCUUUUCCUGCAAUAGGAACUCCAUCUUGGAGGGGACGGGGACGCAGGCAAGCUCACAGAGGGGACCCCGGGGGAGCAGUGCCAGAUUUGGGCUGAGGCCCAUAGCAGUGACCACAGAAUCGGUCAUUUGUCCGUUCAUGGUGAAGAUGGGAGGGGGUUCAGCAGAAGCACUCCCUGGGACUCCCAGAGGCAUGUCUCAGAACCGCUGCUUUCCUUGCACAGAAGAUGAACCAUUUUUGUAGGGGGAGGGUCCAGGAUGUGGUUGCAGUGUGAACAAAGCCUGUGUGCUUUUAUAAUUCUCUUCCUGCCUGCUGCUUUCAUUUCUGAGGGCUGAAUGGGCAGCACGGGCAGACAGCAGCGUGGCUCCGACACGUCUAUGUCUGCAGUGCCCAUUGCAGGAAGAGAAAAGAAAUGGAGUGGGGAUGGAGCAAACAGAUGCAUUCUGCUGAACAACAAAUCCGGUAUUUUUUUAUUGAGAGAAAUAACACAGGAUUGUGAGCUGAUUGCAUGAGCGCAUGCAGCGAUGUCCCCCCGUGUGCCCGGGCAGUGCUGCGGUCUGCACGGCCCAAACUCCUCACAGAGCCGUAUUGCAGAGCUUCACCCCAACGCCUGGGGCUUUUGGGGUGGGCACACAUCAGAGGGAGGGGCUGCGUUGCCCUCCAUCUCCUGCACAUUAUGGAUAGAGACGUAAAGGUUCUUUCUGGCAGACCCACUUGUGUUCACCACUACAGACGUCGCCCUCCACUUUUGUGUUCUUGAAGGUCCCGCAGCCAUUCUCCAUCACGGGAAGGUUAUCAAACCUGCAAAAUAAAGCUGUUUGCACCCAAACACCCGACUUGAAGGAGGCGGGCAAUGGUUGCAGAAAUACUCACUCUGUGCUGUUGUAGGAGGAGUUGUCCACCCAUUUCAAUUGAUUUGUGGACACUUCUAAUCCAAUCCACACCGGCUCCGCACCUGCCAUCUUCUGGAGGUGAUCCUGGGAAAUGGCACCAAAAUCCUUCUGCAAGGGGCUGGAGGGGUGCAGAGCCACCAAGUCUGCCUUGUUGGACCCCCAGCUGAUGGGACUCAGACAGCAGCCAUGCCUGGAAUGCUGCCUGGCUCUGCAGGUGGCUCAAUGGGUGGGAAUGGCUUCAAUCCUGAGAUGGAGGCACCGGUGUGACCAGCUGAGCUCUGCUUCCAUCCUUCAGCCUGUUUGAAGGGUGGGAGGGGACACAACCCCCAUGUCCCACCCCUAGCCUGAACCUUGAUGCCCUUAACUCAAACCAUAAUGUGCGCAACCCCAGCGUGCCUGACCCCAACCCGUGUGCCUACUGCCAUGUGUUGACCCCUAACCCUAAAGGGCAUAAUCCAGACCCCAAUCUCUCCAGUGAUGCUUUAGCCCCAUUUGGGUUUGGAACCACUGACCCUCCUGCUGCCGCCCAGUCACUCCAGAGCAGUUUUCUCCCACAGAAUCCACCAAACCCACACAUUUUCAGGUCCCGUCCAGCUCCCUGCUCUAUGCUUACCUUUUCUGCCUUCUUCCGGAGCACAGCCAGCUGAGACUGCAGAUUUUCACACUUCAUUUUUGCUUGUGUCCAGUUCUCCUUUUCUGUGGAAAGCCCAUAGCAUCGGUCCCCUAAAAGCCUCCAGAACUGGGGACAGAGCAGGCAGGCAGCAGGGGCUGGAGAGAAAGAGCCGUGAGCAUCUUCAGGUGGGAGAAAUCCCACCCAGGAGGAUUUCCUUGAGAAGGGCAUUACCUGCAGAGCUGCUCAAUUUGGAUUGGCAGAAGUACUGCUCAAUGGAGGUAUUCUUGCAGAGCUCUGUCCCAUUCCUCCCGUUGGUCUCAGGGCAGUGCCGGGCAGCGCUUGGAGGUGGUGUUGUUUUCUGAAAGACUUUUGGGCACAACCUGGGGUGAGACGCGGCCCUAUGGGGCCAACCCCGUGGAAACCACGCAGGGUUGGGGUUGGAUCCUUGAGCUCUUUUGCAAAGCCUUUCUGGCUAUGGUUGCACUCAGUUAAUUAAACUGUCUAAAACCAUAUUUUGUAUAUAAUUAGACAUGAUGUUUACUGCUUCUGUCCCCCCCUUGGUUUAAGAGCAGAGAGGCUCUUGCAGAAGGGAAUUCCUCUCACUGAGUGCCACUUUGGAAUUGUUGUGUGAUCACCCAAACUCCAGUGCAAAGCCCCAGCCCCACUUUGGGCAGAAUGAAUGUGUUUUCUGCUCAGAAGAGCUUCGAUUUCCUGUGCAGCAAUGUGGUUGGGAUCUGAUCACUCACCGCACAUGCUGAGCCCUGUCACCAGCAGCAGCAGCAGCAGCAGCAGCACCCCCAGCAUGCAGGCUUUCUGGAAGUCCCACGGAACUGGAAGAGCCCACACUUACAUAAAACAGACAUUUUGAAAAAACUUUUCCUUUUACAGAAAUGAUCUCCCUGUGAAAGAGCCCCUCCACCAACCUGCUACGUUAGAGCAGAAGUUGAUGGCUGCUUUGGUUCCUUGAGAAUUUGGGGUCCCCGGACCCUUCCCAUUGGUUCCCAUGCUGUGU